AGUGAACGCUGGCGGUAGGCCUAACACAUGCAAGUCGAACGGCAGCACAGUAAGAGCUUGCUCUUACGGGUGGCGAGUGGCGGACGGGUGAGGAAUACAUCGGAAUCUACUUUUUCGUGGGGGAUAACGUAGGGAAACUUACGCUAAUACCAUACGACCUACGGGUGAAAGCAGGGGAUCUUCGGACCUUGCGCGAUUGAAUGAGCCGAUGUCGGAUUAGCUAGUUGGCGGGGUAAAGGCCCACCAAGGCGACGAUCCGUAGCUGGUCUGAGAGGAUGAUCAGCCACACUGGAACUGAGACACGGUCCAGACACCUACGGGAGGCAGCAGUGGGGAAUAUUGGACAAUGGGCGCAAGCCUGAUCCAGCCAUACCGCGUGGGUGAAGAAGGCCUUCGGGUUGUAAAGCCCUUUUGUUGGGAAAGAAAAGCAGCAGGUUAAUACCCCGCUGUUCUGACGGUACCCAAAGAAUAAGCACCGGCUAACUUCGUG
rnacentral:rRNA from 1 species